rnacentral:rRNA from 1 species
UACAGAGGGUGCGAGCGUUAAUCGGAAUUACUGGGCGUAAAGCGUGCGUAGACGGUUAUAUAAGUCGGGUGUGAAAGCCCCGGGCUCAACCUGGGAAUUGCAUUCGAGACUGCAUAGCUAGGGUGCGGAAGAGGGAAGCGGAAUUUCCGGUGUAGCGGUGAAAUGCGUAGAUAUCAGGAAGAACACCAAUGGCGAAGGCAGCUCUCUGGGACGGUACUGACGCUGAGACGCGAAAGCGUGGGGAGCGAACAGG